ACCCUGGCUGAUAAAGUCAAACACUAUGAGGAGAAUGGGGCAAGACCACGUUUGAGGAAGAAGCAUUCACUGCCACGUCCACCAGUCAGGUUCAUCAGCCCUGAGGACAUCAACAGAGUUGUGGACUUCAUAAAAAACUAUGCAGAAGACAAUGCCAUGUUGCUGCCUGGCCGACAGCCUGGCCAUAAGGACUGGCAUGUGAAGUUGCUGCCAACUCAUGUGUCCAAGGCUUCAGUGUGGCGUGUCUAUGUGAAGUCUGCUAAGUGAGUGUGCCGUUUGUAAAACCAGCUUCAAAGCACUGUGGAACCGACUUCUCCCACACAUCAAAAGUUCCAGUGCCAAAGCAAUAACGAGCAGCUGAUACGAAGUGCAAACCUCCCAGAUGAUAGAAAGUCUGAAGCAGUAAAGAAGCAACAAGAUCAUCUUUCCCUUGUACAGAAAGAGAGGGCUGUAUACAACGAUUUGAAUGCUGCCUGCAGAAAAAUUCUAACCUGUCUUUUGGACCGUCCCUACCAGCUAGCAAGAAGAUUAGGAUGCAUUACAGUUUUGAUUUUGCUCAGCAGUUACACUUUCCCUCAAACCCUCUCCAGCCAGGACCAAUGUACUUCCUGACCCCACGGAAAUGUGGCCUACUUGGUGUUUCCUGUGAAGGGCUGCAGAAACAG